AGGGUUUGAUCCUGGCUCAGAUUGAACGCUGGCGGCAUGGCUAAGACAUGCAAGUCGAACGAUUAAAGCCCCUUCGGGGGUGUAUAGAGCGGCGAAAGGGCGAGUAAUGCGUUCCUACGUACCUUCUGGUGAGGGAUAGCCCGGGGAAACCCGGUUUAAUACCUCAUGUGGUCUCCGGAUCAAAGGCUUCGGUCGCCAGAAGAGCGGGGAACGUCCUAUCAGGUUGUUGGUGAGGUAAAAGCUCACCAAGCCUUAGACGGGUAGCGGGUGUGAGAGCAUGACCCGCCGCAUCGGGACUGAGACACUGCCCGGACUCCUACGGGAGGCUGCAGUAACGAAUAUUCCGCAAUGCGCGAAAGCGUGACGGAGCAAUGCCGCGUGCAGGAUGAAGCCUUUCGGGGUGUAAACUGCUGUCAGGGUACAAGAACACAAUGACUAUACCCAAAGGAAGGGCCGGCUAACUUCGUGCCAGCAGCCGCGGUAAUACGAAGGGCCCGAGCGUUAAUCGGAAUCACUGGGCUUAAAGAGUACGUAGGCGGACCAGUAGGUGCUUUGUGAAAUCCCUCGGCUCAACCGAGGAACUGCAGGGCAAACCAUUGGUCUAGAGACAGGUAGGGGUCGUCGGAACGAUAGGUGGAGUGGUGAAAUGCGUUGAUAUCUAUCGGAACGCCGAAGGAGAAGUCAGGCGACUGGGCCUGUUCUGACGCUGAGGUACGAAAGCGUGGGUAGCGAACGGGAUUAGAUACCCCGGUAGUCCACGCCGUAAACGAUGUGCACUAGGUUGGGGACGUACUGACACGUUUCCUGGCCGAAGCGAAAGUGUUAAGUGCACCGCCUGGGGAGUACGGUCGCAAGGCUAAAACUCAAAGGAAUUGACGGGGGCUCACACAAGCGGUGGAGCAUGUGGCUUAAUUCGAAGCAACGCGAAGAACCUUAUCCUGGAUUUGACAUGCACGGAUUAACCUUCCGAAAAGAAGGCAACGCCCUCGGGUGGAACGUGCACAGGUGCUGCAUGGCUGUCGUCAGCUCGUGCUGUGAAGUGUCGGGGUAAGUCCCUCAACGAGCGCAACCCUUAUCGCUAGUUGCUAACAGGUAAUGCUGAGGACUCUAGCGAGACUGCCGGUGUCAAACCGGAGGAAGGUGGGGACGACGUCAAGUCCUCAUGGCCUUUAUGCCCUGGGCUGCACACGUGCUACAAUGGUAGGUACAGAACGAUGCAAGACCGCGAGGUGGAGCAAAUCGCUAAAACCUGCCCCAGUUCGGAUUGCAGGCUGCAACUCGCCUGCAUGAAGUCGGAAUCGCUAGUAAUCGCGGAUCAGCUACGCCGCGGUGAAUACGUUCCUGAGCCUUGUACACACCGCCCGUCAAGUCAUGGGAGCUGGUAGCGCCCGAAGUCGCCCCGAUUCAGGGGUGCCCACGGCGAGACUGGUGACUGGGACUAAGUCGUAACAAGGUAGCCG
rnacentral:rRNA from 1 species